AACGCGAAGAACCUUACCUACUCUUGAAUCCUAAGAACUCUGCAGAGAUGCGGAGGUGCCGCAAGGAACUUAGAGACAGGUGCUGCAUGGUUGUCGUCAGCUCGUGUCGUGAGAUGUUGGGUUAAGUCCCGUAACGAGCGCAACCCUAAUUCUUAGUUACAAACAGGUAAAGCUGUGGACUUUAAGGAGACUGCCGGUGAUAAGCCGGAGGAAGGUUAGGACGACGUCAAAUCAUCAUGGCCCUUACGAGUAGGGCUACACACGUGCUACAAUGGGUGUCACAAAGGGAAGCGAAAUCGCGAGAUGGAGCAAAUCCUAUAAAAGCACUCUUAGUCCGGAUUGGAGUCUGCAACUCGACUCCAUGAAGCUGGAAUCGCUAGUAAUCGUGGAUCAGCACGCCACGGUGAAUACGUUCCCGGGCCUUGUACACACCGUAGUAC
rnacentral:rRNA from 1 species